ensembl:lncRNA
UUCUGCACCCCGCAACCCAAGCAAGGGCCCGAGCCGGCGCAGACCCGGCCCCGCGGAGACCACCCCACGGAGCUCUUACGGAGCCCCCACCGAUCUCCCACGGAAUCGCCACUGAGACCUCGAGGAGCCCCCUCUGAGACCCUAAGGAGCCCCAAUGAAAUCCCACAAAUUCCUCACCGAGACCCCACCAAGGACCCACGGAAGACCCUCAAGAAGGACCCAUGAGCCCCCACUAAGACCCACGGAAGCCCGUCGCCGCCCAGCCUGUGAAGGCCCAGCUGCAGGCCGGUCUGCCCAGCCCUGCGCAGUGACCAAUCACGGUGACUCAGCCCUCAGAACCCAGGGCUCCUUGGAAAAAUAAGUCGGCCAUCCAAGGCCACCAAGCCUCUGGAGAUGUCGAGCAUUGAAUGUAUAGUUUCACUUCCCAAACCACCCUGUGGCCUUAGGCAAAUGACCUAACUUCUCCCAACCCCGGUUUCUAGGUUCUGCUUUCUGCAAAGCCAGUAAACCCUCCUGACCCAGCCAUAAGCAGGCUGUCAGUCCUGACAGCCCGUGAUGUCAAGCUCCCUGAAAAUCACAGAGUGAUGGAGAGACAGCAGCCACUAACAUUUCCGGGAGUUCUUCCCUCUCAAGCAGCCCCUUUAGUCUUCCCAGGACCCUGGAAAAGGAGGUUGGACAUGUUUGCACUGGGGUAUGGCUUUCAAAGCACUCGAGGGGGGUGGUCUCAUUUUGUAUGGAUCCCUGGUCAGCAGGCGCCUCUCUCCUAGCCCGUGGCCCCUGUCCUGGCCCUCAGGAUCCGAGUCUGUAAAAUGGAAAUAUGCACUGCCCACUCCACAUGGUGGAGAGAAUUAGAUGCUACGAGCUGGAACAGCAGCUGGCGUUACGUCGGCAUUCAGCACACGUUAUUUAAAAAACAAAUUAAUUGUGAGGUAAUGCAGCUGAAACAGCUUCAUGAACUGUGAACUGGUUUUCAGGAGUGAGGCGGUGUCUCCACUUUCCGGAUGGAAACCUCUGGCGUGGGAGCAUUCUGUGGAAGGACCAGCACAGGGAAGAUGGAGUCAAGGAACCUAGAACUGGGGGGUUCUGUUUUUGAGUGUAGACACCAGGCUUUGGAGAGCCAGGAGCAGCCUUGCCUAGAGUGGAAAAAUGUGGCUUUGGAGUCAGAUGGACCUGGGCUCCAGAGCCACCAGCCGCGAGCCCUGGGUGUGCAUCUGCUUGACCUGCGAGGCCCGGCCUCAGUUGUGAAAUGUGGAAGUAACACCUGGGAGGGUGCUCUGAGAUUUCCUGGGGCGCUUACCUGUUGGGGCUCGGUUGCUGUGCUGGCCCAGGACUACUCAUGCGUCACCAUGCAGCAGGGCCCUGGCCCAAGGAUCUCACUCCAAAGGCUUCUCUUUACGGCACUUGUCACCACCAGACAUGCUGUAUUUUUAUGGGUGUAACUGGUGAUAAAUAUCCAAGUGGACUUGAGAGAACUUGGAAUGCAAUGCCGCCUGCUUCCUGCUCCCGUGGGACCCACGUGACUCUCAUCCCAGAGGAGACACCUGUGCCUCCAACCCGGUGGCUUGCCUCCUCGUCCCUCAGGAUGUAACGACAACGACAAGUUUACUGUGUGAGGUCCCAGGCCGAGCGCCAACGCUGAAUGGUUCAUUCAGACCUCACAUUGUCUGGCACAUUUUCAAGCAUUCUUCCCCGUGUUUUGUAGACAAGAAAACCAAGGCUCCCUGAGGGCCAGGUUAAGUAACUUGUCCAGCUGCUCGCCACGGCGCAAAGAUGAAGCUGAGUUUUGAAAUACCACAUCAUGCGGUAUUUAGAGAAGAAGAUUGAAAAGACUUUUCAGAAGAGGACCCAAAUAAAGAUAGUCGGGAAGGAGCUGGACUCUGAACGCCCUCCCUUCACCACGGUUGGGAGGUCACCAGUAAUCGGGCUAUCCCCGUCUCCCCAUGGCUCCGGCGGCUCAGGAAGAACAAGGCAGAGCUUGCUCGGAUGUUAAUAAUUGCUCACAGGCGUGGAGUGCAU